GAGUUUGAUCUUGGCUCAGAUUGAACGCUGGCGGCAUGCCUUACACAUGCAAGUCGAGCGGCAGCGCGGGGGCAACCCUGGCGGCGAGCGGCGAACGGGUGAGUAAUACAUCGGAACGUGUCCAGUAGUGGGGGAUAACCAGUCGAAAGAUUGGCUAAUACCGCAUACGAUCUACGGAUGAAAGCGGGGGACCGCAAGGCCUCGCGCUAUUGGAGCGGCCGAUGUCGGAUUAGCUAGUUGGCGGGGUAAAAGCCCACCAAGGCGACGAUCCGUAGCUGGCCUGAGAGGACGAUCAGCCACACUGGAACUGAGACACGGUCCAGACUCCUACGGGAGGCAGCAGUGGGGAAUUUUGGACAAUGGGGGCAACCCUGAUCCAGCCAUGUCGCGUGAGUGAAGAAGGCCUUUGGGUUGUAAAGCUCUUUCGGCGGGGACGAAACGGUUCGUGCCAACACCACGGACUAAUGACAGUACUCGCAGAAGAAGCACCGGCUAACUACGUGCCAGCCGCCGCGGUAAC
rnacentral:rRNA from 1 species